rnacentral:rRNA from 1 species
UACUUAGGGUGCAAGCGUUAAUCGGAAUUACUGGGCGUAAAGCGUGCGCAGGCGGUUCGCUAAGACAGAUGUGAAAUCCCCAGGCUUAACCUGGGAACUGCAUCCGAUACUGGAUGGCUUGAAUCCGGGAGAGGGAUGCGGAAUUCCAGGUGUAGCGGUGAAAUGCGUAGAUAUCUGGAGGAACACCGGUGGCGAAGGCGGCAUCCUGGACCGGUAUUGACGCUGAGGAGCGAAAGCCAGGGGAGCAAACGGG